rnacentral:lncRNA from 1 species
AUGGUUAUAGAUGUUUGGUUUAUUGGCAAAGGGGAUGAGACCAUCAAAGGCAUGCAAGACAGUUCUCGAGCAUGUAUUCAGAUGAUGUGGAAGACGUGCGUUCCAGCUAUGGACAUGUGAACACUUGGAGGAUCAUAUGACAUCAGAUAUGGCCACCAGCCUAUAGAUGCAAAUUUGCAGCACUCCUAUGUUCAAAAUCAUUGAGUAUAUGGAUUUGAAGAAUAAAGAGUCUAGAAAUAGUUCUUUUUUAUCCAACUUUUGUAGAUAUGUUUUAUUAAAAGUUUAUAUCUUUAAUUAGUAUUUAAAUUGAAAUUUGUGUGUGAAUUUUGAGUUAUUAUUAUUAAUAUUAUUUGGU